rnacentral:tRNA from 1 species
GAAAUUUUAGUUUAAAUAUAAAAAAUUUUUUUUUUACAAAAAAAAGAUAUUAUAAUUUAUAAUAAAUUUUA